rnacentral:snoRNA from 1 species
AAGACUGUACUCGUACAGGAUCGUUUCUAUAGUAGAAACGUCUGAUUUGCACUAACAAAUUAGACAAUAAUCUAAUCCAGGAUGAUAAGAAAUACGCAUCCACUCGUAAAGCGAGAUAAGUUCUUCCACUGUGAUCGCCGAAAGGCUUGAUUCGGUGCGAAGAGUGAAGACCGUCCUCUAGUCAGCUCUUCACAGAGCAGGCCAAGAGUGAGAGUGGAUGUGAGGUUGACUGGAC